GGGGCCAUCGUCUAGCUUGGUCAGGAUGUCAGCCUGGGGCGCUGGAGGUCGUGGGUUCAAAUCCCACUGGCCCCA
rnacentral:tRNA from 1 species